GAUGAACGCUGGCGGCGUGCCUAAUACAUGCCAGUCGAGCGAACAGAUGAGGAGCUUGCUCCUCUGACGUUAGCGGCGGACGGGUGAGUAACACGUGGAUAACCUACCUAUAAGACUGGGAUAACUUCGGGAAACCGGAGCUAAUACCGGAUAAUAUAUUGAACCGCAUGGUUCAAUAGUGAAAGACGGUUUUGCUGUCACUUAUAGAUGGAUCCGCGCCGCAUUAGCUAGUUGGUAAGGUAACGGCUUACCAAGGCAACGAUGCGUAGCCGACCUGAGAGGGUGAUCAGCCACACUGGAACUGAGACACGGUCCAGACUCCUACGGGAGGCAGCAGUAGGGAAUCUUCCGCAAUGGGCGAAAGCUUGACGGAGCAACGCCGCGUGAGUGAUGAAGGUCUUCGGAUCGUAAAACUCUGUUAUUAGGGAAGAACAAAUGUGUAAGUAACUAUGCACGUCUUGACGGUACCUAAUCAGAAAGCCACGGCUAACUACGUG
rnacentral:rRNA from 1 species